CCCACAAGGCUUCCCGUUUUGCUUGCAAUUCAUCGAUCUAACCAGCGACGGAAAUCCGUUCUUUCUUCCGCCCUUCACAGAUCUGCAACCUCUGGUUUCACACCGAAGAAUGUAGCUAAUACCCAGUUUACACACCGCAUGCAAUCACCGCACUUACAGCCGUUCCUGGCUUAGCCAACAACAAUGGCUGAGAGAGAUCAGUGUGGUACGGAUCGUGACCUGCGAGAGGGAGGGAGACGAUCAAAUGCUGGUUAAGGGUUGCACACAUUUCAAGUCCAGGUGUUUUAGGGAAUUUAACAUGAUUUCAAAUUAUAUUCGGAGCUAAAAUGGAACCCGGUGGUUUCGACAUACAGGUGCAUAUGUAUAUGUAUAUAUAUAUAUAUAUAUAUAUAACCAACUCGUAAUGGAAUCUUACGGUUUUGCAGGUGGAUUUACUACCUAUAGGUUGAAUAUGCAGCAGUUUAUUAUUCCAUGUAAACAUAUGUUGUCUGUUUCAUAAAAGUAAUCACUGCAAUGUAAGUAGGAAGCAUUACAUAUAACGUAAUCUUAUGUGCACAUGAAGUCCUCUAUAUUUAUCUUGUGAGCAAAAUGAGCAGUUUUACCGAUGUAAACAAAGAAAAGGUUUGGAGCACUCUCAGUCAAUGACGUCAGUUUUGGAUGUGGAUAUCACCGAAACGAUCUCCCCCCUGAUCCUGUUGGAGAACUCAUUCAAGGUUUACGAGCGUGGAAAAUUUUCUUACGCUGGACGGACAUAUGUAAUGUAAGGUUAAUGUUGUUGUAAACUGUAAUUUUUGUUCUAUCAAUGUGGCACAAAGAGUCUAAAUCUCUGAAGAUGCUGCCCGUAAUUUUGGAUACAUUUUUGGGCAUCUAUACCAACACACAUGUACAAUGUAAUCAAAUCAGCAAACGUCCGGUCCAAGUUCUAUUACCACUACAUGGUUUCCUUUA